GGCUUCGUAGUUCAAUUGGAUAGAAUGUCAGAUUCCGGAUCUGAAGGUUGGGAGUUCGAGUCUCCCCGAGGUCA
rnacentral:tRNA from 1 species